rnacentral:lncRNA from 1 species
GUCUGCGGGCGGCUGGAGUUCGCCCGCGUGGUGUCGGCGCAGCGCCAGGUGGUCUCCGGGAUCAAGUACUACCUCCGCGUCGCGGCCGCCGAGGAGAACGGCGCGGGGAGCAACGUCGUCAGCGACGGCCGCGUGUUCGACGCCGUGGUGGUCGUCAAGCCCUGGCUCCAGUCCCGCGCGCUCGUCAGAUUCGCGCCGGCCGACGCCAAAUGAGCAGCUGCACAAGCGAUCGGAGGAGAACCGCUGCGUGUCUUUUUUGCGCGACAGAGUACGUAAUGUAAGCUCGAAUAACGGUGUGUGAGGUACUGAGGUAGGGUUGAGCGCCAGAGUAUGUAGGCUGUACGAUGCGGCGGUCGAAGUUUUGUAAGUCUACCGGAUAAAAAGUUUUGCAAGAAAGAUGAGAGUGUCGAAAUAAAUACUUACUAGUAUGAUAAGACUGUUUUUUCCCCAUGUAUUUGAUUUCCUUUUCAGUUUUUUCUUUGCUUCUUUAAAGAAUGACCGGGAUUUCAAAAAUAGUUAUGGUUUUCAAAAAAAAAUAUUUAUGAAUUUUAGAAAAUGUUCCGAAAUUUAAAAAAUUGUUCUAGAAUGUGCGAAAAUCAUAAAUUUAAAAC